AUCCAUGUGGGACAUCCCAAUUGAUGGGAUAAACUCUUUUUAUGUGAGUCGACUAGAAUCCUGUUUCAUUAAAAGGGCCUCUAGGGCGUCUCAAAUCUCAAAAUCCUUCAUCUCUCUCUCGUCCCAAACCUAGGAAUCUCAUUCUAGAUCUCCCAAAAACUCCAAAAUCCCAUAAAAUCGUGGACCACUCUCUUCAAAUUUUUUUGAUCUCACGGCUCACUCUCUUGAUUUUCCCAAAUUCCAAAUCCUAACCCAC
rnacentral:lncRNA from 1 species